rnacentral:misc_RNA from 1 species
AGGGCCGAAGAUUUCCAGGUACGUUUCGGCGACGCUCCUCGCGGCCUUCCCGUCGCGCUUCAUGAAGGCCGAGCAGAUCUCGCCGCCCAGGCAGGCGCUGGUGGCGAUCAGGCCGC